CCGUGCGGGUGGCCGGGCCUGGCCCGUGCGGCCGGCUGGGCUGGGAGCACUGGGCGGCACUCAGAGUUUCCAAAAGUCCAUGCAGUGGCCACGUCCUGGUUCAUUUCUCCUGGCAUCCCGCAGUCAUGCAGAGCCACUGCUGCACCUGCUGGCAGCGUCACUCCUCUGCUGCCCUUCCCUUCUCCCAGCAUGCAGGGUGGAAAAUACACAUUCAACAAAACAAGCUCCCUGUCCGGGCUGGAUCCUCGGGCUGCUUCCCCCAGGACACCACGCUCGUGUUGAAGACGGAAUGAGGACUGUGAGGGGUCUGGAGCAGCUCCCAGCCCACAGGAUUUGGGAGGUGUCCACUCACAGCACGGCUGUCCUGGAUGGUGCUGCUGACCUGCUCCAUCUUCCCUGCCAAGGGGGUCACACCUCCAGCCCAGCAGAGCAGGACGUUUCAUGUUUGCCUGGCACACCAUGGCAUGUGUUGCUGUGCUGUGCUAGUGUGGCCUGUGCACGCAAAGGAGGAUGCUCAUGGGGGACAACACGUGAAGAUGUGACCUGCCUGGCACUAGGGGACACCAGGACUGCAGCUGGGGUUUCCCUCCAGCUCUGUGGAAAUAUGUUUAAGGCUGGCCCAUGCAAAGUGCCUGCUAGGGCUGGUCCCUGGCCCUUGGCAGCCCUGGGCGUGCCACCUCCCUGCCUGGCAUCUGCUGCCACUCUUCUGCAUGACACAGGCUCUGAUGGAGGAAUUUCAUCCUCCAUCUCCUGCCCAGCCUGCUCCAGCACCAUCCUUGUCUCUACUUUGUGUGCCUUUAUCUUGUGUAGGGUUUUACCUUUCUUGGCCUGUUUCCCUGCUGGACCCAACCAUCUGCCAGUGUAAAUUCAACAUCUCUCUGCUCCGUGUUGUUGGUGUGAAUGACCAGAAUCAAGAAAUCUGACUAAAAUGAACAUUUUGGAUGUUGUUUUUAUCUGCCUGCUGGGUUUUGGAGAGAGAGAGAGGGGGUUUUACAUUUGGCUCAGCCAAAUGAGCUCCAAGCCAUGAGCUGGCAGCCACGGGAGCUGGCAAAGGUAGCUGAGAGAGGACUUGUGAUGCAAGCAAUUUGUGGUGGUUGCUGUCCCUUUGAUGGAGGGCAGGGUAGCUGACUGGAGGGGCACUGUGAUCUGUCCCCCACAAUGGCUGCUCUCAUCCAGUCCACCAGCAGACCCUCUGCUCCCUUUUUUUGGAGCACAAAAGCCAUUACUAUCUUCCAUGCACUUUUUUGAGCACAUCAGUUAUGUAAGCUCAGUGUGCCUGUCUCCCUGUUUUUCUGGGCUUUUCAAGGCCCCUGAGAAUGUGUGUGCAAAGAGCUGAACUGGUAGAGAAAAGGGCUUGUUUGUGCUACCACAGAGGGAAAGAGCAGAACCCUUUAUUAGCCAGCAGAGACUCUACAUGGGGCUGUGGCUUUGUGGCACCAAACAGUUGGACAUUGCUUUGUAGGGCAGCUGUUCCCAGACCAACACACUUCUAAGACAUAAGAAACACAGUGGUUUGUGUAUAUUUAAGUAUUUUAUUGAGACCGGACGUAGGGACCACUCAGGUCCCUCCUGAGGAACUGUGUGCUGAGCUCCUGUCCCUUGCUUAUUAUACAUGGAAAAAAUAUGUCAAACAUGCAAUGUCGUGGUACAGCCUGAUCUUUGAGAAUCUCAUUUUCCAUCCAAGCCCUGCUCAGUGUGCUCAGGAGGAUGAGGAUGGACAAUUACCUGAGCCUUGUAUCUGGCUUUCAUCCAGAUCAGGGUCAGACACCUCCAAGAUGGCUCUGCUGCUCGGGGAUGGGGAUUGCUCCACACAGCAGGUAUGAGGGUUGUGUGAGCUCCCAAAGACUGGGAAGGAGCUGGGUGAGAGGAAGCAGCCCUGGAGCAGUCAGCACUGACUGGGAUGGUGAGAAAAC